GGUACAAGCCGUCUUAUCGCGCCUAGCCGGUCCACUGGAUCGGAUCGGGUGAGGAAAGUCCGGGCAGCAUAGAGCACCAUACUUCCUAACGGGAAGGCGGAUUCCUGGCGACGGGAAUUCGACAGCCAGUGUCACAGAAAAUAUACCGCCGGUUUAAAGAGUGAAAGAGUGAAUUAAUGAAAGAGCGAAGUGGCUCAAUUGGACUUUUUCGCUCAUUCACUCUUUCGCUCUUUAGACCGGUAAGGGUGAAAUGGUGGGGUAAGAGCCCACCGCCCGGCGGGUGACCGGCGGGGCAGGACAAACCUUAUGGGCUGAAAGACCAAAUAGGCGUCGGAUGCGAGGCUGCUCGUCUCCGUUCCGAUUCAUUCCUUCGGGAACGAUCCGGAUGCCGGCGCGGGUAGGUCGAACGAGGUGGUUGGUGACGACCAUCCCAGAUAAAUGAUAAGACGCCGGGCAGUUAGCUGCCCGGUGACAGAACCCGGCUUACAGGCUUGUACCGUCG
rnacentral:RNase_P_RNA from 2 species